UACGUAGGGACCGAGCGUUGUCCGGAAUCAUUGGGCGUAAAGAGCGUGUAGGCGGCUUGUUAAGUCUUGCGUGAAAUCUCGGGGCUCAACCCCGAGCGGCGUGAGAAACUGGCAGGCUAGAGUGCGGGAGAGGAGAGUGGAAUUCCUGGUGUAGCGGUGAAAUGCGCAGAUAUCAGGAAGAACACCCGUGGCGAAGGCGGCUCUCUGGAACGCAACUGACGCUGAGACGCGAAAGCGUGGGGAGCAAACAGG
rnacentral:rRNA from 1 species